CAAGAUGAAUUAUUAUUAAAACGAAGUUUUCUAGAGAAGAGGGAAGAGGUCACAAUGGCCGUGGACUAUGUGGAAUAGGAGAAGCUGAAAAGAGCCAUGCAGUUCAAUUAUCCUGAUUCUUCAGUUUCCAUCUAUGUGAAACAGGCCACGCAGCAGAGACAUAGACACAUCAGAAUUCCCAUCUGCACUGCAAUAAACACUACUUAGGAGAAUCAGUCUCAGCUGGACCAAACCUCUCAGUCCCACUCGAUGUCAUCUGUGCCAAGCCAAGACUCUAUUCAAAAUACUUGGAAUACCUCGGUGAACAAAAGAUCCAUGAUUUCAUGGGCCUGCCUCUACCUAAGGGAGGUAGAUUUCCAAGAACAAAUGGGUGAGUAAACAA